GGCUCGGGGCGACCCGUGCCGUCUGUAGUCCCUGUCUUUUCCAGUACCUGUUCCGUUUCCUCGGCGGGCUUGCCCGCCAGCGAGGACCCAAACCAAACCCUGAAGUGAGCGGUUACGUCUGAAAACAAACAAAAUCUAUUAAAACUUUCAACAACGGAUCUCUUGGUUCUGGCAUCGAUGAAGAACGCAGCGAAAUGCGAUAAGUAGUGUGAAUUGCAGAAUUCAGUGAAUCAUCGAAUCUUUGAACGCACAUUGCGCCCCUUGGUAUUCCUUGGGGCAUGCCUGUUCGAGCGUCAUCUACACCCUCAAGCUCAGCUUGGUGAUGGGCGACUGUCCCCCCGCGGACUCGCCUCAAACGCAUCUGGCGGCUGGGCCGGCGGCUUCUCCUGCAGCACAUUUGCAGCGCGAGGCGCGCGGCUCCGGCGAACCACAAGCCCCUUUCUCAGUUUUGACCUCGGAUCAGGUAGGGAUACCCGCUGAACUUAAGC
rnacentral:rRNA from 1 species